rnacentral:lncRNA from 1 species
AUGAUUACCAAGUUCUAUUUUCUGGUGACUCUUAUCCCCCCAACUACUCUCGAAUCAUGUGGAUCCGUCGCUUGGACUGAGGUGGAGGGUUCGGAUGUCUCCCUUCAAGCAGAGGCCUGGCUACAUGAAUUCCUUCAAUCAUUUCUAGGUUCCCCAGUGAGGGUCCAAGUCAGCUUUCUAAAACAAGGACAACAGAGAUGCAGGCUAUUAAAGAUUUUGAAGAGGAAUAAAAAAAAUAAAAUCUCACUUCAAGUGUAUUAUUAUAAAGGGAAGAGACAAUCGCAGAUUCCCAUGUUUGGCUCAAUGUAUUUUUUUCCGUAGAAAUUUAGUUAUAAUUGAUAUUGAGAAUCUGAAUCUGAGAAGCUUAAAUAAAUUCUUAUCAACCUAGAGUACA